CGCAGGGGUGCUGAUUGCUGAGACGCCGUCCGGGGACUUUCCGUUUCCGGGGGCGAACCCUUUACCUGAUCCGGGUAAUGCCGGCGUAGGGAGCUCA
rnacentral:ncRNA from 1 species